GAUGAACGCUGGCGGCGUGCCUAAUACAUGCAAGUCGAGCGAACAGACGAGGAGCUUGCUCCUCUGACGUUAGCGGCGGACGGGUGAGUAACACGUGGAUAACCUACCUAUAAGACUGGGAUAACUUCGGGAAACCGGAGCUAAUACCGGAUAAUAUAUUGAACCGCAUGGUUCAAUAGUGAAAGACGGUUUUGCUGUCACUUAUAGAUGGAUCCGCGCCGCAUUAGCUAGUUGGUAAGGUAACGGCUUACCAAGGCAACGAUGCGUAGCCGACCUGAGAGGGUGAGCGGCCACACUGGAGCUGAGACACGGUCCAGACUCCUACGGGAGGCAGCAGUAGGGAAUCUGCCGCAAUGGGCGAAAGCCUGACGGAGCAACGCCGCGUGAGUGAUGAAGGGCUUCGGAUCGUAAAACUCUGUUAUUAGGGAAGAACAAAUGUGUAAGUAACUAUGCACGUCUUGACGGUACCUAAUCAGAAAGCCACGGCUAACUACGU
rnacentral:rRNA from 1 species